rnacentral:rRNA from 1 species
AGACCAGACUCCUACGGGAGGCAGCAGUGGGGGAUAUUGCACAAUGGGGGGAACCCUGAUGCAGCGACGCCGCGUGGGUGAAGGAGCGUUUCGGCGCGUAAAUCCCUAUCGGCAGGGAAGAAGAUGACGGUACCUGACCAAGAAGCCCCGGCUAACUACGUGCCAGCAGCCGCGGUAAUACGUAGGGGGCAAGCGUUAUCCGGAUUUACUGGGUGUAAAGGGGGCGCAGACGGCAGCGCAAGCCAGGAGUGAAAGCCCGGGGCCCAACCCCGGGACUGCUCUUGGAAUUGCGCGGCUGGAGUACUGGAGGGGCAGGCGGAAUUCCUAGUGUAGCGGUGAAAUGCGUAGAUAUUAGGAGGAACACCAGUGGCGAAGGCGGCCUGCUGGACAGUAACUGACGUUGAGGCUCGAAAGCGUGGGGAGCAAACAGGAUUAGAUACCCUCGUAA